UUGUGCUAGGCGGGGAGCUAGCGGUGCCCUCUACCCGAAAUCCGCUCUAUGCGGGGCUGAAUUCCCGUUUGAGGAUUUUGCACGAAAAACCGACGGGCGACUCGGCCGGUCGCCGCGCAACAGGCGGUCACGAACCUCGUCAGGUCCGGAAGGAAGCAGCGAUAAGUGAUGCGGUCUGUGUCGUGGACUGAUACCGUCCUUUGGAGCGCCGGUUGUCUUUUUCAUAAAAUUCGAUGACGGGUGCACAA
rnacentral:SRP_RNA from 1 species